rnacentral:rRNA from 1 species
CGCGUAGGCAACCUGCCCCUCAGUACGGAAUAACUUCGGGAAACCGACGCUAAUACCGUAUGUCGUCUUAUGGUCGCAUGACCAAAAGAUGAAAGCCUUCGGGCGCUGAGGGAUGGGCCUGCGUCGGAUUAGGUAGUUGGUGAGGUAACAGCUCACCAAGCCAACGAUCCGUAGCUGGUCUGAGAGGAUGAUCAGCCACACUGGCACUGAGACACGGGCCAG